CAUGAAGCUGGAAUCGCUAGUAAUCGCGGAUCAGAAUGCCGCGGUGAAUACGUUCCCGGGUCUUGUACACACCGCCCGUCACACCAUGGGAGUCGGAAAUGCCCGAAGUCGGUGACCUAACUGAAAGGAAGGAGCCGCCGAAGGCAGGUCUGGUGACUGGGGUGAAGUCGUAACAAGGUACC
rnacentral:rRNA from 1 species